GUCGGCAACAUUUUCGUUCAAUUGCUGUUGACGUUUUGAUUUCUGCGUUCAUUGAAUUUCAAUAUCUGUCAGUGGUGAUGCAAAACAGUGUUUACAAUAUUGGCGCAUCUGUUUCUAUGAACGAACGAGAUGAAAUGCCAUCAAUAUGCAAGUUCUCUUGAUAUACCGUCCGGUAAGAGUGCUGAAUUGGUCAAGGAUGCGUAUAAUAUUGGAGAUUGAGCAAGAAGCACAGAAUCCGCUGGAUGUGUUUUUUCCAAGUUAACAGCAAUUGUUGCUGUCUGUUGUUAUCAGCGAGCCGAAAUAAGUAUGUUAGAUAGCCUAAGAUUGGAUAAUUCUGGUCAGAUUUCCCGGGAAACCGUUAUCAUCCCUAAUUCUCAAUUGUACCAUGUUCGAAGGUGCGGUCUGCGAAUAUGUGACCCCUGGGAGAAUUUUUCAUAUUUAGCGUUAGUGUAUACAUAAAUCAUUCUUUAGAAGAAUUGUUGAAAAUUUUUCUGUUUUCUUUAUAUAAUUCUUUUCGGCUGUAUUCUUAUUUCAAUGAUUUUUUUAUGUUUGUAAAUAUUGUUUGCUGGUUUGUGGUAUUACUCCAACGAAAAAUAAAUAUAUACAUCCAUUUUUUAGAAA